ensembl:lncRNA
CUGGAGUCAAAGCCUGAGAGAUAAUGCAAGACAGAAACAUAACACACUGUACAACUGUCUACGAGGCACAUCUGGAUACAGCAGAAGACUGUAAAAAUCUGCUCCUGCAAAGCUCAAGUGGAUUUCACAGCCAAAACGGGGUCAUUCAGAAACUGCUGCCAGGUCAAGUUUUCACUUUGAACAUUUUCACAGUUAAAGGAGGAUCCAGGACAUCUGUGCAGCACAAAGCACAUGCAGGUCAGCAGCCUCGAUGAAGAUCACAGAGUGAGUCAGUGGCUCUGGAGAGAUCAGAGCCAGGAGCCCACUGUGUGCCAGCUCUUUGUGCUUCCCUCUGGCUUGGAAAUCCUUUCAACCCCAGGUGCUAAAACAAGGUGAAGCAGGACAAAUUCCAGACUGCGGCUUUGGCGGAGGCUUCUGAAGGACUCGAUGGAAAUGCCACCGCAACGCUGUGACACCAGGCAGUGCUCAGCCAUGUUUGUGCUCAGGGAGCUGACCUCACAGUGCUUAUGGAAACUGGUUGCAGUAGAGAGGAAAAAGAUGAAGGUUGGUAACUCAGCAGCCACAUGUAUUACACUUGGUUAGAACUGUUUCUAGGAAGCUCCAGGAACAGAAGUCUGGAGUCCAAACUUUGCCUACAGCCACUCUCCAGCUCCCCUUUCGGCUACAAGAGCAGCCCUUCUGGCUCAUCUAUGGGCUGGAACGGAUGCAGGCAGGAACAAGCUGAAGCCAUCUCGUGCAGGAUGCAUUCAUACCCGGGUGAUCACAGCCAUCCACUCCUGCCCAGUCCUGGAAGCGAAAGUGCUCCCAAGCCUGCUGGAAAAGCAAUGGAGUCCAAGGCACAGAAGGCAGAUUGUUUCCAAGGAAGGCAUUAGCCCUGCAGGCACUGCAACAGUCACCAGUCAAGUGACCCUGGAAAGGACAGAAUUUCUCAGCAUCUACCAAACCUCUCAAAACUGGUCCCCCACACCUAUGUCUAGUGGUAACACACUGGAACAGGUUGCCCAGAGAGGUUGUGGAUGCCCCAUCCCUGGAAGCAUUCGAUGCCACGCUGGAUGUGGCUUUGGGCAGCCUGGUCUGGUGGCAACCCCAUGGCAGGGGGGUUGAAAUUAGAUGAUCUUUGAGGUCCUUUCCAACGCAGGCCAUUCUACAAUUCUAUGAUCUCCCUUCAAACAUGAAAAAGCUCAUUGAGCACCUUUAACCACACAGCCAACCUUUAGGUGCACAUGGAGGGAUGGGAUGGUGUCUCCAAGCAGAGCUUGUCAGGGUAUAUGAGGUACUACACUGAUUUGGAAGAGGGUGAGCAGAGCCAAGGAUGAAAUGGUGGAAGGAUUCAUCCUACAGGACUGUCAGUGAGGCCCCUCCAACAUCUAGCACCACUGCACUUGAAAUAUGUUCAGAUUUAGGAAGGUUCAAGCAGACUGCUACAGUAAAAGGCUGGAAAAGUUUGCCUGCUCUUUGCAAACCUGAAGCUUUAAGAGGUGGACAAAGUCAGCGUAAAGGAAGAGAUAGAAAGUCAGACAACAUCUGCUAUUCACAGACACGGGGACCUCAGAAAAAAGCAUCGAGGAUUUGGCAGCAAGUAGUGGAUACAGGCAGAGCUAGAGCAGAGAGAAUAGCUGCAGGAGUCAGUCACCUGGGAAAGCUGCUGCAGUAAACCUUGUAUUGGAUCAGGCAGUCCUGAGGGAUUUCUGCAGGAGGAUUGAGGCGGCUGCUGAAAACACUGGGAAAAGAGUGCAAAUGGGCCAUAAAAAUGAAGGCAAGUGGGAGGCAUGGCUUUUUUUUCCUCCCUUUGGCUGAAAUUUGUGCACAGGCUUUUUUUCCACAGAUGAAGUCCUUGUCCUUCUGAGGAAGAAUACAUCACACUGGUAUAUGAAUGACUGCAGAGUCAGUGCCACUGCCAGGAUGCUCAUUUUCUGUGCAGCUUCCUAACGUGACAUUUCAGCACCAUGAAAGGGCUCUCCUGCUGCAAGCAACAAAAAUCCCUGCUCUCCUCUCAGCUCUUGCAAGUUGCCUGCUCUUCAUGACGCUAUGUUCUCUAAGACUAUCCUGUCAAGAUAGUGCACAUUUCUCUUGAGCCCACAACCAGCAUGUGCCUGUUUUGCACAUGCUGGUUCAUCCCCAGGCUCUCGUUUGAAAUGCAAAAGUUAGCUGUCCUAAAGGAAGCGCAAGGUCUGAGGGCAUCGUUUACACCAGACUUUCUCCAGACAGGAGGAUGGUGACCAAAGGGCCGUGCAUCCCAGCGGAUCAUGAGACCCACUGCUCUGGAGAUGAUCUCCUGGAAUUUCCUUUUGUAGGAGGGCUUGGUUUCCGCGCCCUGUUUCCAUUACUGUCCUCUCGCCAAGCAGUACGCAGUUGGCUGGCAUUUUCCCGAAACCAUUUCGAGCAGUGCCUUCAAAGACGCGACGUCACAUGUGCCAAAGCGUGACUCUGGUCUGAGUGAGUUCCCGUCAGCCUGACGCAUGGGGGGAAUGCUCAAUUGAUUCCUGAUGCAGUUACACGCAUCACAACACAAAGAUGUCACCCACCAGAAUGAGCGCGUUGAGUCACUGCAUUUCCCCAGGCUGCAGAAGUGCAGGAAUCAUAAUCAUUUCCCAGCACAGACCUAUGAGGGUGCUGGCUCCAGCACUUGCAUGCUCCGCUCACCCUCUGGAUGGCUUUUCCAAGCAGUCAGCAUCAACACAAGGGCACAGGCAUGCCUGUCUUUCCCUCCGUCUCUCUCAGCCUAUCAUAGCUGUGAAAGGAAAAUAUGUAGGUACGGUCUCUCUCUCACCAUAAGCCUCUAUAUCUAUCUAUCUGUAUCUAUAUAUCUAUCUGUAUGUAUCAGCAUAUAUAUGAAUAAGUGUAUAUAUACACACGUUUUAAUACGACAUUUAUAGCACUUCUUAAAUACUGAUUGAAACAAUGAUUUAUGAGUUUUCAAAUAAGGAUUUACGGGCCACCCUCAGCACACUGGGCCAGUGAAUCCACUGGGCCAUUUGCCAGAGAGCAUGAUGAGGUCGGGAAGGUGGCAAGGAUUCUUGCUGGGUCAUCCAUGAGCAACACUCAUGGGUAUGUGGGAGAGCCAGGAGAGCAGGAAAAAAAAGGAGUCAGGAUGCUUCCUAGCAAAAACAAAGUGCAAGACAAAGGCGAUCUUGUUCACAAGAUGAAGAU